GCUUGGCUUGGUGGCUCAGGCCUUUAAUCCCAGCCACAUGGGAGGCUGAGACAGGAGGAUUACUUGAGCCCAGGAGUUUGAGGUCAGCGUGGGCAACAUAGUGAGACACCAUCUUUU
rnacentral:sRNA from 1 species